rnacentral:rRNA from 1 species
UACGUAGGUGGCAAGCGUUACUCGGAAUUACUAGGCGUAAAGCGCAGGUAGGCGGUUUGGCAAGUCCGUAAUGAAAUCUCCCGGCUUAACUGGGAGGGGUUUAGGGAUACUGCCAGGCUCGAGUGUGGUAGAGGUAACUGGAAUUCCCGGUGUAGCGGUGAAAUGCGUAGAGAUCGGGAGGAACACCUAUGGCGAAAGCAGGUUACUGGACCAAUACUGACGCUGAGCUGCGAAAGCUAGGGGAGCAAACAGGAUUAGAUACCCUGGUAGUCCUAGCCAUAAACGAUGUAGACCAGAGGUGGGGGGUAUCGACCCCCUCCGCCCCGAACUUAACGGAUUAAGUCUACCGCCUGGGGAGUACGGCCGCAAGGUUGAA